GUCUCUAUUCUAAGUUCUAUUCAUAGCAAUCCGAGUAAGUCUCUACCUUGUUUAAGUUGAUCGUCCCAAAAUCUAGGUUCGCUUGCGUGUGUGAUAUCUGUAUGCUCUGUUAGUAAUCUAUUUAUUUGUUACGAACCAACCAAACCAUCUUCUAGCAAGGACAAAGGCAAAGCCAAAAUUGUUUAAGUUUCUUUAUUUUCCGGUAAGUAGAUCGCGGAUGGCAUAAGCGAUGUCGAUGAUUUGAUGAGGCAUCUGACUGAUAGGGUGAACCAUAGAGAUGGGCAAUGGGUUUAUGUUAUGCUGUUUUGAACGAUAGUUAUAGUGUUAAUUUGAUUAUCAAAUAAUUUUCUUAUGUAUAAAAGUACACUAUGCUAUGUUAUUAAGUUUACUCUAUUUCUGUGAGCCAUGAUAUGGAUUUUUCCUUCUAUUUGAUAAUUAAUAAAUUGAUGUUAUCAUGCA